UACGUAGGGGGCAAGCGUUGUCCGGAUUUAUUGGGCGUAAAGAGCGUGUAGGCGGCCAAACAGGUCAGCUGUGAAAACUCGAGGCUCAACCUCGAGACGUCGGUUGAAACCGUUUGGCUAGAGUCCGGAAGAGGAGAGUGGAAUUCCCGGUGUAGCGGUGAAAUGCGCAGAUAUCAGGAGGAACACCCGUGGCGAAAGCGGCUCUCUGGGACGGUACUGACGCUGAGACGCGAAAGCGUGGGGAGCAAACAGG
rnacentral:rRNA from 1 species